AUGGCCCACACCAAAAUCAGAUUGAUUAUAUUCUUUGCAGCCAAAGAGGAGAAGCUCUAUAUAGUCAGCAAAAAGAAGACCGGGAGGGACUGUGGCUCAGAUCAUGAACUCCUUAUUGCCGAAUUCAGACUGAAAUUAAAGAAAGUGGGGAAAACCACUAAACCAUUCCAGUAUGACCUAAAUCAAAUCCCUUAUGAUUAUACAGUGGAAGUCAGAAACAGAUUUAAGGGACUAGAUGUGAUAGAGUGCCUGAUGAACUAUGGACGGAGGUUUGUGACAUUGUACAGGAGACAGGGAUCAAGAUCAUCCCCAAGACAAAGAAAUGCAAAAAAAGCAAAAUGGCUGUCUGAGGAGGCCUUACAAAUAGCUGUGAAAAGAAGAGAAAUGAAAGGCAAAGGAGAAAAGGAAAGAUAUACCCAUUUGAAUGCAGAGUUCCAAAGAAUAGCAAGGAGAGAUAAGAAAGCCUUCCUCAGCGAUCAAUGCAAAGAAAUAGAGGAAAACAAUAGAAUGGGAAAGACUAGAGAUGUCUUCAAGAAAAUUAGAGAUAUGAAGGGUACAUUUCAUGCAAAGAUGGGCUCAAUAAAGGACAGAAAUUGUAUGGACCUAACAGAAGCAGAAGAUAUUGAGAAGAGGUGGCAAGAAUACACAGAAGAACUGUACCAAAAAGAUCUUUAUGACCCAGAUAAUCACAAUGGUAUGAUCACUCACCUAGAGCCAGACAUCCUGGAAUGUGAAGUCAAGUGGACAUUAGGAAGCAUCACUACGAACAAAGCUAGUGGAGGUGAUGGAAUUCCAGUUGAGCUAUUUCAAAUCCUGAAAGAUGAUGCUGUGAAAGUGGUGCACUCAAUGUGCCAGCAGAUUUGGAAAACUCAGCAGUGGCCACAGGACUGGAAAAGGUCAGUUUUCAUUUCAAUCCCAAAGAAAGGCAAUGCCAAAGAAUGCUCAAACUACCACACAAUUACACUCAUCUCACACGCUAGUAAAGUAAUGCUCAAAAUUCUCCAAGCCAGGCUUCUGCAAUAUGUGAACCAUGAACUUCCUGAUGUUCAAGCUGGAUUUAGAAAAGGCAGAGGAACUGGAGAUCAAAUUGCCAACAUCUGCUGGAUCAUUGAAAAAAGCAAGAGAGCUCCAUAA
ensembl:lncRNA